rnacentral:rRNA from 1 species
CCAAUAGCGUAUAUUAAAGUUGUUGUGGUUAAAAAGCUCGUAGUUGAACCUUGGGCCUGGCUGGCCGGUCCGCCUCACCGCGUGUACUGGUCCGGCCGGGUCUUUCCCUCUGUGGAACUCCAUGCCCUUCACUGGGUGUGGCAGGGAAACAGGACUUUUACUUUGAAAAAAUUAGAGUGCUCCAGGCAGGCCUUUGCUCGAAUACAUUAGCAUGGAAUAAUAAAAUAGGACGUGUGGUUCUAUUUUGUUGGUUUCUAGGACCGCCGUAAUGAUUAAUAGGGACAGUCGGGGGCAUCAGUAUUCAAUAGUCAGAGGUGAAAUUCUUGGAUCUAUUGAAGACUAACUACUGCGAAAGCAUUUGCCAAGGAUGUUUUCAUUAAUCAGGAACGAAAGUUAGGGGAUCGAAGACGAUCAGAUACCGUCGUAGUCUUAACCAUAAACUAUGCCGACUAGGGAUCGGACGAUGUUAUAUUUUGACUCGUUCGGCACCUUACG